AGUAGAAUUGCUGGGUCAUGUGGUAACUUGGUUUAACAAUUUGAGGAAUUGUCAGACUGUUUUCCAAAAUGGUUGCACCUCUUUAGAUGCUCACCAGUAGU
rnacentral:pre_miRNA from 1 species